rnacentral:piRNA from 1 species
UGUUUCCACUGGCCGAGAAAUGUCAUU